rnacentral:misc_RNA from 1 species
GUAGGUGAACCUGCGGAAGGAUCAUUACAACGUAUCCACGUAUCAACCAAAUGUGAACCUCCCAUCCGGAGCAAAACUUAGUGUGUCGCUAAUGGCCGAGCUGUAAAGUGACGCUUCCACAGAUGGAGAGUUUGGACCUAAUCGUCCGACCUCUUGGAAGUGUCCGUUCGGUCGUCAGUUCGCAAGAACUGAGGCGUCCUUUUGCUUCAGAUGCGGUAUAAAUGUCCGUCCAUCUGCGGUCGCCAAUUGUUUUACCCUUUCAUUAACCCUUUGUAACUUCAAUUGAACUGAACUAAUGUAACACUGGCAGCGGCUGUUCUUGUUGGCUUCGGUCACGAACGGUACACCAAACGCCGUCUUGUUGCAACAUAUUACGAAACGCACGAACAACUCUUAACAACGGAUAUCUUGGUUCUC